AGGAUGCGGUCUCUUAAAGCCCCUGCCACCGGUGUCCUUGCCAGCCUCCAUCAAUCGCCCGGCGAUGGGCGGAACAGAGGAAGAGAGGGGCGAUAGAUGAAGUGAAAACUUUUCGAGUGUCGGCGGAACUGGGCCACAGCAUCCGAGCUGGGAGACCUGAGAGAAGAGAUGGGAGAGGGCGGCUCCGCUGACUGGAGGAGUACCAGCUGGUCUCAAACAGCUGACAGUUGGAGCCAGGCAGGGUCACCUCCCAUCACCUCCCAGGGGUGUGUGGGUACAGCUCCGGAGCUUCAGAGCCCAUGCCCAAGCGGUUCCUGACUUGCCCAGCGAGGAGGAGUGAAGUAUGGGGAGAUCCGGGCCGCUCUGCUGGGAGUGGGGCCGCUGGCCUGGAGGUACCCCCGGCCUACUCACUUUAGGCCAUGCGAGACGCAGUCUGCCAGGCCCGCCAUGACCCCCUCAAAGUGGCGGGUGCACGAGGAGCCGAGCGGUCACUGAUGCCGUUGAGCCCUGU
ensembl:lncRNA